ACAGCGUGAUCUUUCCACACUUCCCAGCGUUGAGUUCAUCAAACUGGUUGCAGAUUAACAUGAUGUCCUUCUCUGAGAUCUUCCCCAUCUCCUUGAGCUUGUAGAUCACAAACUCUGAUUUGCUACAGAAUGUAAUGAGGUCUGCUGCCAUCAGAUCUCCCGCGGUCAUCUUCCUCUUGAGCACCCACUCUGCAGUCCUUCGAUUCCUUUUCUCAAUCCUGAGCUCGGUCAGAUACAAGAAGGCCUUGGCGACAGCGAGAGUGCUCACCAGCAGCCAUACUGAUGCAAACAGCCUCCCCUUCAUCGUCAAGAAGGUGUAGUCCCCGUACCCCACUGUCGUCACGGAGGUCACCGAGAGAUAGAAGCUGUCGAGCCAAGCCAGCCCCUCCAGGACGUGCACCAUCACAGUCCCCACCGCAACACAGCAGAUAACGACACACAGUGCCAACCCCACCUUCAUCCGCACCCUCAUCCGCCCCUUCCUCAUGUCCAUCACAUACGUCCUGAAGAUCACGUUGCGACGGCUCUCGUCUACGGCGCUGAGCAGCACUGCCUCCUGCUUGUCGAGCACGUAGGUCAGCAACCCAUUGAGGAGGACAUCCACGAAGCCGAAGCCCACCAGAAUGAACGCACAGGUAAAGAGCUUGGUGAAGCUGGUGUGAGGCACUAUGUCGCCAUACCCGAUUGUGCACAUGCUCACGAUGGCGAAGUAUAGCCCGUCGACCAGUGGAAACGUUCUGUGCCCCUUGAAGCUCCCUUGCCUCACCAUGAAGACGAUGAUCCCUACCGAGAUGUACAGGAUUGCUCCAACUAUGGCUUGCCGCACAAUCCAUGGUGAACGCGUGGUCGGAGAAUCUGUAGGUUCGGCAUCGAGUGCCAGGGCUUGACUUUCCUUGAUGCAGGUGAAUAUGGAUGGAGCAGAGUAGGACCGGCGAGAGGCUUUAGUGGAAUGCUCAUUGGGCUCCUUGAUCACUGGUGUGUCAAGGAGUGGAGCAGCAUGAGUGGGUAUGGUUCUGCAGCAUGGAAAACUGGUGAGAUAGCUGAAGCGAUGAGAUGAGUUGCUGUUGCGAUGAUCUGAGAGCUCAUGAGAGCAAUUCUGUAUGGAUUCCGGUGUCUUGGUUGACAAAAGCUUGUCCAUGGACAUGAAGCAGUGCAGGAAUUCGUGAUCUGAAACUUGGAGCACUACUCAGAUUCCUGCACUAAAUCUUCAGGGAAAUUACACCUGCAAAAAGGGAAUUCUCCAGCUGCAGUUCUUCCAUAUUGACCAGCACACAAAGCACAUUACUCUGGUUCAUAGGUGCCAACAAUAACUCAGAUCAGAAGCUCUCCAUUCCUCUGGUUCCGAUGAAAGGAUUCAUGGAGGAACAUAAAAUGAAGUAAUUGUGUCAUUUAUGGUGAUCCCUGCCUUUUAAUGGUCUGAGCUCUCCAGAAAACUGGUAGAGACUACAGUGAAUUUUGCCUUCAAAUACUGCAUUACUAUAUUUUGCCAUUUUACCCAAUAUUUCCUUUUUUGUGUGGUAAAUUUCUACCAAGAGUAUUUGUUUGUAGAUUUUAUUAAUGUAGCCAUGACUACAAUAAAGGUAUUACAGAUCAUUA